AGAUUAAGGAGUAUAGAAGGAACAUCUAUGUCCUCAUGCUGCCUCUGAAGCUCAUUAUUCAUCAAAGCAAGCAUGAUGCACUUGACAGUCACACUGUCAUCCUUUCACAUUUUAUAUGUGGCCCUUUCCUCCUUAGAUGCAUCUUCUCCGAUCAUAUUGGGUGCAGGUGAAUCCAAUAUGUAGGAGACUUUCUCCUGAGUGCGAAUAAUUCUCAAAUUUUUUAACCAGUCCAUA
rnacentral:lncRNA from 1 species